UAGUAUACAUAGUAUACAUGCAAUGCUGCUAUGUAUAGGCUGUUCUGCACAGGAGCUGAGGGACGAGGCGGACGACCGGCAAGGCGGAAACCAAAACAAUGUUUGUUCCCACUCCGGACAGCCCCUUGAAAAGACAAGGUCUUUUCAGAUUGUAGCGCCAUCUUAUAUACACAGGUAGCGACCUCUACAUUCCUCCUUUUCGCCUCUUGUGACACAGAGCUCUACAAGUCCAACCGUCGCUGUGGUCUGUGGUCUCGAAGUUGUUUCUUUAUUCUAUGGUCUCACCACGACCUACUGUGUGGGUCUCACUAUGCGACUGCUGCGAGUCUGUGUCAUCGUUUCCUGCGGCGUUACUUCUGGCGGCGUUGGAUUUUCUUGAGGUGCUGCAGGCUGCAUGAUCUCGUGAUGGACAGGCGGAGACGCUACCAGUUGGGCUGGGGUCCCUUCCGAUGAAUGGAGCACGUGUCGACGAUUACGCUGAAGUACACCUCUGGGGGUUUGAACAAGCAUUGAGCCAUUCCAGCAGUCCAGCAAAUCCAGAGGGUGCAGUUACGUGAAAGCUACCACCACCACCGCAGUAACUCCUGUGCCUAGGAGAUAGAUAAAUUCUGAUCUGAAAUCUCACCAGGAUCUGUGCAAGCCAUCAUCUGUUUGAAUUCCUAUUGUGCCAUCGAAGCUUCCAGGAACACUCAAGCUGAAGGAACACUGCGCACACUCUCACAAGCAAAAGGUCAUCUCAGUGCCCUUCAUAGCCUCAGACGUUCUCACAAAACAUUAAUCUGGAGCGACACCUGUGCAUCCACACAGGCACGAUGCCAUUUGAGUGCCAUUUAUGUCCUCAAAUCUUGUCAAAGCGGAGUUCUCUGAACCGACACCUGCGAACCCACAGAGGCGAGAGGCCAUUUGAGUGCCCUUCGUGCCCUCUAAGCUUCCCACUAAGGAGCUAUCUGAAACAACACCUGUGCACCCACACAGGUGAGAAGCCGUUUGAGUGCCCUUCGUGCACUCAAAGCUUCUCACGUAAGAGUAAUCUGAACAGACACCUUCGCACCCACACAGGUGAGAAGCCGUUUGAGUGCCCUUCAUGUCCUCAGGCCUUCUCACAAAAGAGCCAUCUGAACACACACCUGCGCACCCACACAGGCGAGAGGCCGUUUCAGUGCCCUUCCUGCCUUCAGACCUUCUCACAAAAGAGUAGUCUGAAUGAACACCUGUACACCCACACAGGCGAGAGGCCAUUUCAGUGCCCUUGCUGCCCUCAAAGCUUCAUACGAAGGAGUUCUCUGAACCGACACCUGCACUUCCACACAGGCGAGACGCCAUUUCAGUGCCCUUCAUGCCCUCAAAGCUUCUUCUCACAAAAGAGUACUCUGAACCGACACCUGCAUACCCACACAGGCAAGAUGCGAUUUGAGUGCCCUGCGUGCCCCCCGAAGCUUCUCACAAAGGUCAAAGUUGAAGGCUCAUCUGCACUUUCACACAUAAUGUGAGGGGCUGUUUCAAUGCCCUUCAUGUCCUGAGAAGUUGUCGCCGAAGUUUGCACUGAACUGACACCCGUGCCCCCAUAGAGGCGAUAGGCCAUUCAGUGCCCUGCGAAUCAAUGUACAGGUUCCCAAGCCACUCCACACACGAAAUUGUUGAAGCAGAAAAAAAUUCAAAGUGCACAGGUUUCAUAUUUAACGGUCGCGUCAGUGUACCAUUUGCAAAAAGAAUUGUCUUUGCUGAGUACACGUGCUGUGCAGCAGUGCUAACUUGUACGCACGACUCAUUGUUUAUUGUUUAUCAUGUUUUGUUUUUGUUUUUUUCAUGGAAGUGCACAUGUGCUUGUUGUUGCUCUGAAUAAAAUAGUUUGAAGUCCG